rnacentral:lncRNA from 12 species
AUUUUGUUUUAUUUUUAAAUUCAGAUUUAACCUUUUGUGCCUGGGCUUGUCGGCUCGGAAACAUUUCCCACGCUGCUGGGAAUGCGAUUCCCAGGGCAGGGAGGGCCAGGGCUGCUGCUGAAGUGUCCCAUAGAGCUCAGAAAUUUCCUGUUUUUUGGAGGAGUGUGGCCAGGCAGAAGUGAAAACUCAAUUUUUCUGCAGGUAAGGAUAACCAACCCCAUUUCCCGGGCUCAGGAUGGUGUUUCCUGGAGCAUCCCAGAGCUGCAAAACCCCAGUGAGGACAGAGAAGCAGCCCCCGCUCAGGACCCGCCUGUUCAAUCGCGGGACAAUCCCGGGAUUAUAUCCCGAUAUAAACCCAGGUUCAGCUGCAAAACAAACCAGGAGAAAUUCCUGGGUUUCAACCGAGCCGGAGUGGGGGAGGGCACGCCGUGAAUCCCGGAAUGUUCAGCCUGGAACAGCUCGUUUCCAUUCUUCCUCGCGUUGUUUUUCCCACCACACUCCCACUUUCUGAUCUGACUCAAACUUUUCUCUGGGAAGGCAGAGCUUCAAAGGGAAAGGGAGCACAUUCUGCAUGUUCUGCCUGGAAAAUGUUUAACUGAAACAUUGCAGCACUUGUGAAAUGAAUGGUGGCGUUUAGAAGCUGUCAAAACAACAACAACAAAAAAAGCUUCAAUCCCUCUCUCCAGCGGCGGCGGCAGCAGCGAGACAUGGCCGACAGCAGCUGAUCCCGCUCCGAUCCUGCCCCGGCUCCCGGCGCUCGCCAAGGUACGCUCGGCGGUCGCCCAAACCCUUCCCCGCGGGUCCCGGGGUGUCCCUGAGCCGCGGAGCCUCGGCACGGCUCCCUCCGGCACCCCGCGGGAGCGCUCCUGAACCCCACGGAAUAUGGGAUCAUUCCCGGAGCCUUCACCUCUCCCUGCGUCCCACGGGAGCGUUCCUGCAUCCCACGGGAUCAUUCCCGAAUCCCACGGGAUCAUUCCCGAAUCCCUCACCUCUCCCUGCAUCCUACGGGAUCAUUCCCGAAUCCCACAGGAUCAUUCCCGAAUCCCACAGGAUCAUUCCCAAAUCCCACGGGACCAUUCCUGAAUCCUAUGGAAUAAUUCCUGCACCCCAUGGUAUCAUUCCUGAACCCCUCACCUCUCCCUGCAUCCCAUGGGAUCAUCCCUGCAUCCCGCACCUCUCCCCGCAUCCCACGGGACCCUCCCCGCAUCCCACGGGAUCAUUCCUGCACCCCAUGGAAUCAUUCCUGAAUCCCAUGGGAUCAUCCCUACAUCCCUCACCUCUCCCCGCACCCCUCAGGACCCUCCCCGCACCCCUCAGGACCCUCCCCUCCCUCCCGGCAGGGCCCCGAGCCCCGGACCCGCUCCCCGGAGGAUUCCAGCCCAGCCCGGCGGUGCCAGGAGCGCUCCGGGGCCGCUCCCAGCCCCCCCGAGCUGAGCCCCGGAGCCCUCGGGGGGCUGCGAGCGGCUCCGAGCCCGCCUGGGUGGGGGUUUUGUUUAUCCUAGCCAGCUGUGGCGAUAAGGGGGGCUGGGUGAGGAUUUUUGUUUUUCCCAGCCAGCUGUGGCGAUAAGGGGGGCUGGGUGAGGAUUUUUGUUUUUCCCAGCCAGCUGUGGCGAUAAGAGGAGCUGGAAUUUCGCAGUUCCAGCCUCUCCACGAUCCCGGCGCUGCCCGGGGCUGGGGACGCGUGGCUGUGCUGCAGCCAAGGUCACACAAGGUUUCCCAGCUGGGCUUUGCCAAGCCCGAGUUCCCAGCCUGGAGGAGCCCAGGCUCCACCGGGACGGGGGGGGUGACACUCGGGCAGUGUUGGGGACCGGGGGGUGACACUCGGGCAGUGUUGGGGACCGGGGGGUGACACUCGGGCAGUGUUGGGGACCGGGGGGUGACACUCGGGCAGUGUUGGGGACCGGGGGGUGACACUCGGGCAGUGUUGGGGACCGGGGGGUGACACUCGGGCAGUGUUGGGGACCGGGGGGUGACACUCGGGCAGUGUUGGGGACCGGGGGGUGACACUCGGGCAGUGUUGGGGACCGGGGGGUGACACUCGGGCAGUGUUGGGGACCGGGGGGUGACACUCGGGCAGUGUUGGGGACCGGGGGGUGACACUCGGGCAGUGUUGGGGACCGGGGGGUGACACUCGGGCAGUGUUGGGGACCGGGGGGUGACACUCGGGCAGUGUUGGGGACCGGGGGGUGACACUCGGGCAGUGUUGGGGACCGGGGGGUGACACUCGGGCAGUGUUGGGGACCGGGGGGUGACACUCGGGCAGUGUUGGGGACCGGGGGGUGACACUCGGGCAGUGUUGGGGACCGGGGGGUGACACUCGGGCAGUGUUGGGGACCGGGGGGUGACACUCGGGCAGUGUUGGGGACCGGGGGGUGACACUCGGGCAGUGUUGGGGACCGGGGGGUGACACUCGGGCAGUGUUGGGGACCGGGGGGUGACACUCGGGCAGUGUUGGGGACCGGGGGGUGACACUCGGGCAGUGUUGGGGACCGGGGGGUGACACUCGGGCAGUGUUGGGGACCGGGGGGUGACACUCGGGCAGUGUUGGGGACCGGGG